rnacentral:rRNA from 1 species
UUCCGUAGGGGUGAACCUGCGGAAGGAUCAUUACCGAGUGCGGGCCCUCGCGGCCCAACCUCCCACCCGUGUCUCUCUCUACCUGUUGCUUUGGCGGGCCCACCGGGGCCACCCGGUCGCCGGGGGACGUCCGUCUCCGGGCCCGCGCCCGCCGAAGCGCCCUGUGAACCCUGAUGAAGAUGGGCUGUCUGAGUCGCAUGAAAAUUGUCAAAACUUUCAACAAUGGAUCUCUUGGUUCCGGCAUCGAUGAAGAACGCAGCGAAAUGCGAUAAGUAAUGUGAAUUGCAGAAUUCCGUGAAUCAUCGAAUCUUUGAACGCACAUUGCGCCCCCUGGCAUUCCGGGGGGCAUGCCUGUCCGAGCGUCAUUUCUGCCCUCAAGCGCGGCUUGUGUGUUGGGCGUGGUCCCCCCGGGGACCUGCCCGAAAGGCAGCGGCGACGUCCGUCCGGUCCUCGAGCGUAUGGGGCUCUGUCACUCGCUCGGGACGGAUCGGCGGAGGUUGGUCACCACCACAGUUUUACCACGGUUGACCUCGGAUCAGGUAGGA